rnacentral:rRNA from 1 species
UCUCAAGCGUGAGGUAAGAGCAUUUGGUGGAUGCCUUGGCAUGUACAGGCGAAGAAGGACGUGGCACGCUGCGAUAAGCGUCGGGGAGUUGUGAGCAAACUUUGAUCCGGCGAUUUCCGAAUGGGGAAACCCACCUUCACCAUUUCCUCUGUUGUUCCCUCGGGAACAGUAGAAGAGGUGGAUAAGGUAUCACCUUAGUGAAUAUAUAGCUUUGGUGAAGCGAACCCGGGGAACUGAAACAUCUCAGUACCUGGAGGAAAAGACAUCAACAGAGAUUCCCGUAGUAGUGGCGAGCGAACCGGGACCAGGCCAGUGCCUUCAUUUCAACUAGCAGAACACUCUGGAAAGCCUGUCUGAACAUGGGGGGACCACCCUCCAAGCCUAAAUACUCGUACAUGACCGAUAGCGAACACAGUACCGUGAGGGAAAGGUGAAAAGCACCCCGAUUAGGGGAGUGAAACAGUACCUGAAACCGGAUGCUUACAAGCAGUUGGAGCCCCAUAGGGGGUGACAGCGUACCUCUUGCAUAAUGGGUCAGUGACUUAGUGUAUCAUGCAAGCUUAAGCCGUUAGGUGUAGGCGCAGCGAAAGCGAGUCUGAAUAGGGCGACAGAGUAUGAUGCAUUAGACCCGAACCCCGGCGAUCUAGGCAUGACCAGGCUGAAGGUGCGGUAACACGCACUGGAGGGCCGAACCGUUGCAUGUUGAAAAAUGCUCGGAUGAGUUGUGUUUAGGGGUGAAAGGCCAAUCAAGCCGGGAAAUAGCUGGUUCUCCGCGAAAUCUAUUGAGGUAGAGCGUCGGAUGUAUGCCGAUGGGGGUAGAGCACUGGAUGGGCUAGGGCUGCGCGAGCGGUACCAAACCUAACCAAACUCCGAAUACCAUCGAGUCUUAUCCGGCAGACAGACGGCGGGUGCUAAGGUCCGUCGUCAAAAGGGAAACAGCCCUAACCUACAGCUAAGGUCCCCAAGUCAUCACUAAGUGGGAAAGCAUGU